rnacentral:rRNA from 1 species
UACUCCUACGGGAGGCAGCAGUGGGGAAUAUUGGACAAUGGGGGGAACCCUGAUCCAGCCAUGCUGCGUGUGUGAAGAAGGCCUUAUGGUUGUAAAGCACUUUAAGCGAGGAGGAGGCUACUGAGGCUAAUACUCUUGGAUAGUGGACGUUACUCGCAGAAUAAGCACCGGCUAACUCUGUGCCAGCAGCCGCGGUAAUACAGAGGGUGCGAGCGUUAAUCGGAUUUACUGGGCGUAAAGCGUGCGUAGGCGGCUUUUUAAGUCGGAUGUGAAAUCCCCGAGCUUAACUUGGGAAUUGCAUUCGAUACUGGGAAGCUAGAGUAUGGGAGAGGAUGGUAGAAUUCCAGGUGUAGCGGUGAAAUGCGUAGAGAUCUGGAGGAAUACCGAUGGCGAAGGCAGCCAUCUGGCCUAAUACUGACGCUGAGGUACGAGAGCAUGGGGAGCAAACAGGAUUAGAUACCCUGGUAGUCCAUGCCGUAAACGAUGUCUACUAGCCGUUGGGGCCUUUGAGGCUUUAGUGGCGCAGCUAACGCGAUAAGUAGACCGCCUGGGGAGUACGGUCGCAAGACUAAAACUCAAAUGAAUUGACGGGGGCCCCCACAAGCGGUGGAGCAUGUGGA